rnacentral:rRNA from 1 species
UGCAAGUCGAACGCAGUAGCAAUACUGAGUGGCAGACGGGUGAGUAUAAUGUGGGAAUCUGCCUUUUGGUUCGGAAUAACUCGGGGAAACUUGAGCUAAUACCGGAUAAGCCCUUACGGGGAAAGAUUUAUCGCCGAAAGAUGAGCCCGCACUUGAUUAGCUUGUUGGUGAGGUAAAAGCUCACCAAGGCAACAAUCAAUAGCUGUUCUUAGAGGAAGACCAGCCACAUUGGGACUGAGACACGGCCCAGACUCCUACGGGAGGCAGCAGUGGGGAAUCUUGCACAAUGGGGGAAACCCUGAUGCAGCGAUGCCGCGUGAGUGAAGAAGGCCUUUGGGUUGUAAAACUCUUUCGUCGGGGAAGAAAAUGACUGUACCCGAAUAAGAAGGUCCGGCUAACUUCGUGCCAGCAGCCGCGGUAAUACGAAGGGACCUAGCGUAGUUCGGAAUUACUGGGCAUAAAGAGCUCGUAGGUGGUUAAAAAAGUUGGUGGUGAAAUCCCAAGGCUUAACCUUGGAACUGCCAUCAAAACUUUUUAGCUAGAGUGUGAUAGAGGAAAGUGGAAUUUCUAGUGUAGAGGUGAAAUUCGUAGAUAUUAGAAAGAACACCAAAUGCGAAGGCAACUUUCUGGAUCAUUACUGACACUGAGGAGCGAAAGCAUGGGUAGCGAAGAGGAUUAGAUACCCUCGUAGUCCAUGCUGUAAACGAUGUGUGCUAGACGUUGGAAAUUUUAUUUUCAGUGUCGCAGCAAAAGCGUUAAGCACACCGCCUGGGGAGUACGACCGCAAGGUUAAAACUCAAAUGAAUUGACGGGGACCCGCACAAGCAGUGGAGCAUGUGGUUUAAUUCGAAGAUACGCGCAGAACCUUACCAACUCUUGACAUGUCCGUCGCGACUCGUAGAGAUAUGAGUCUUCGGUUCGGCCGGACGGAACACAGGUGCUGCAUGGCUGUCGUCAGCUC